CUCAUCCCCUCAUUGGUUUAGUUUGUAUUUUAGUCCAGUCUUUAGUUCAGUCUUUGCUGAGUCAUCUGUUCUGUUUCCCUGAUCCUGCUGAGCUUCCCUUAUCUUUGUGUUGCCAGUAUGCCCAAAUCAAACUUUAUCCAUGGCACUUCCCGCCUGCAGUCUUGUGUAUUUUUUUUUCGUCAACCUUCUCCGCUCCAGUGUGACACAAAGCUGUGAAUAAGGAAGAAGAUACGACUCAAUUUUGAUCGAUUUUGAGUGAAUCCUCCUCAUCCUCGAGACCGGGGCUGGAAUUAACAGCUCAUGACGAAAGCCAGGCGGAAGAGAAAGAAAACACACCAGAGAAGAAAAGAAACACACUCUUCUCGCCCCUAAGUCCUCCUUGGCAGUGUAUCCCCAUCCGUCAGAGCACAGCGACUGAGUGUGAGAGAGAGAGAGGAGAAGAGAGAGAUGAAAUGAUACUGAGUAAGUGGGCGAGUGAGAGAGAAAGUGAGAGAGGGAGGGAGGGAGGGAGGCAGGCAGAGAGAGCUUGUGUGUAUGCACUGGAGGGUGAUCCUCUGUACUGUAUGAGCUCCUGUUUAUCUCUCCGUCUGUCUCCUCUGCAUAAAUUCCUUCCCGACAGAAGCCACGAGGUCAGUUGCAUUUACAGUAACGAGUCUUGGUUUCCUCUUGAGGAAAAGACUUCCUGUUAGCUCCCCGCUCAACUUCCCUCAUGAGUGAAGUCCCUCUGUAUUUAUGCUUUUUAAAACCCUCUCUCUGAAGCUUUCUCUCUCUCCCUCUCAAACACAAUCUCGCUCCCUAUUCCCCUCUCUUAAUUAAUUAAUAUCCUAGUGACAGUUAAUCUAAUGUCCAGAGGUUAGGUCCUCUGGCGAGGAAUGUGCUGCAAUUUAAUUUACAAUAAACAAAAACAAACACACAGUGCAGCUGCAGCUUGCAUGCAUAAGGAAUACGAAUGCACAAUAAACUGAUGUACUGUAUGAAAAGAACACUAGGUUGUUUGUGCACAUGGAGGGGGGAGAAAAUUGCAUAAAUAUAAUGCGCUGCAUUAACAUACACAUCAUAUGAUACUGCUCUGCCCUGAGAGUCCUUGGUCAAUGAGAGCAAAAUGAAAUUUGGGAAAAAAGAACCACCAAUGCAACGAUUAUAUAAUAGUUGAGAUAAUAAAAGAUUUUAUUAAUUGAAAAGCCCUAGUUAACUGCAUAACCAGUUUUCAGAAUACUGUCAAGCUGGGAUUUAAAGAGGAAAGAUAAGGAGAUAGGAGGUGGACCCAAAUGCAGUACUCACAGGAUGGUUGUUCAUGCAAAAAUACCAUUUUUUUUAAUUCAUCAGUUACUCAAAUGGAUGUGUGUGCUUUUCUGUUUAACUGGAAACUGAAUAGCUUUUGAAGAAAAACGUUUUCUGCCAAAACAAGCUCUUAGAAGACGUCA